rnacentral:rRNA from 1 species
UACAGAGGUCUCAAGCGUUGUCCGGAUUUACUGGGCGUAAAGGGCGCGUAGGCGGCGCGGUAAGUCACUUGUGAAAUCUCUGAGCUUAACUCAGAACGGCCAAGUGAUACUGCAGUGCUAGAGUGCAGAAAGGGCAAUCGGAAUUCUUGGUGUAGCGGUGAAAUGCGUAGAUAUCAAGAGGAACACCUGAGGCGAAGGCGGGUUGCUAGGCUGACACUGACGCUGAGGCGCGAAAGCCAGGGGAGCAAACGGG